rnacentral:rRNA from 1 species
GAUGAACGCUGGCGGCGUGCCUAAUACAUGCAAGUCGAGCGAACGGACGAGAAGCUUGCUUUUCUGAUGUUAGCGGCGGACGGGUGAGUAACACGUGGAUAACCUACCUAUAAGACUGGGAUAACUUCGGGAAACCGGAGCUAACACCGGAUAAUAUUUUGAACCGCAUGGUUCAAAAGUGAAAGACGGUCUUGCUGUCACUUAUAGAUGGUUCCGCGCUGCAUUAGCUAGUUGGUAAGGUAACGGCUUACCAAGGCAACGAUGCAUAGCCGACCUGAGAGGAUGAUCGGCCACACUGGAACUGAGACACGGUCCAGACUCCUACGGGAGGCAGCAGUAGGGAAUCUUCCACAAUGGGCGAAAGCCUGACGGAGCAACGCCGCGUGAGUGAUGAAGGUCUUCGGAUCGUAAAGCUCUGUUAUUAGGGAAGAACAUAUGUGUAAGUAACUGUGCACAUCUUGACGGUACCUAAUCAGAAAGCCACGGCUAACUACGUG